rnacentral:rRNA from 1 species
AUUGAACGCUGGCGGCAGGCCUAACACAUGCAAGUCGAGCGAGCGGCGGACGGGUGAGUAAUGUAUGGGGACUGCCCGAUAGAGGGGGAUAACUACUGGAAACGGUGGCUAAUACCGCAUACUAUCGGAUAACCCAUAUGGGAUUAGCUAGUGGGUGGGGUAAAGGCUCACCUAGGCGACGAUCUCUAGCUGGUCUGAGAGGAUGAUCAGCCAAACUGGGACUGAGACACGGCCCGGACUCCAACGGAGGCAGCAGUGGGGAGUAUGGCACAAUGGGCGCAAGACAGAUGAAGCCACGCCGCGUGUAUGAAGAAGGCCUUAGGGUUGUAAAGAACUGUCAGCGAGGAGGCGGUACCCGAAGAAGAAGCACCGGCUAACUCCGUGCCAGCAGCCGCAGUAAUCC